rnacentral:rRNA from 1 species
AUUGAACGCUGGCGGCAUGCCUUACACAUGCAAGUCGAACGGCAGCACGGGUGCUUGCACCUGGUGGCGAGUGGCGAACGGGUGAGUAAUAUAUCGGAACGUACCUUAUCGUGGGGGAUAACGCAGCGAAAGCUGUGCUAAUACCGCAUAAGCCCUAAGGGGGAAAGCAGGGGACCGUAAGGCCUUGCGCGAUUAGAGCGGCCGAUACCUGAUUAGCUAGUUGGUGAGGUAAAGGCUCACCAAGGCAACGACCAGUAGCUGGUCUGAGAGGCCGAUCAGCCACACUGGGACUGAGACACGGCCCAGACUCCUACGGGAGGCAGCAGUGGGGAAUUUUGGACAAUGGGGGCAACCCUGAUCCAGCAAUGCCGCGUGAGUGAAGAAGGCCUUCGGGUUGUAAAGCUCUUUUGUCAGGGAAGAAACAGCAGCUCUAAUACAGUAUGCGAAUGACGGUACCUGAAGAAUAAGCACCGGCUAACUACGUGCCAGCCGCCGCAGUAA